UUCUCGGUAGUAUAGUGGUUAGUAUGCAGGCUUGUCACGCCUGAGACCCGGGUUCAAUUCCCGGGCCGGGAAG
rnacentral:tRNA from 2 species